rnacentral:lncRNA from 12 species
AUGUGGAAAGCAAGAGUCUUUUGUUUCUGCAUCUAUACAGAUGUCUCAAGAGGAUGGCGAGACAAAAAGAGAAGUAAAUACUUUGUCUUACCACGCAGGAGGAAGGCAUCUUUUCAGCAUGUGGAUUUUUCUAGGUUUCCUCUCCUACAUCUCCAAAGAGACUCUUGUGUGGGUGAUAAUAUUCUCAUUCGAUCAGAGAUAGGAGAGAAUCCGACUGGCACAGGUAGAUACACUCUGUCUGAUGAAGGAUCAGACUUCACCGUGACCAUCACUGACCUGCGGUUAUCAGACUCUGGCACUUACAUCUGCGCAGUAGACAGAUUUUUUAAAGACACUUACAACUAUGUAACUCUACAUGUGAUUGAGGUUUCUACGUUAACACCUGUUCCAACAAGUGCAUCCAGACCUCCUAGAAGAAGAACAACUACAGAUAUAACCGAGAAUAAGAGAACAUCAGUGAUGAAGCGGUCAACUGUCAACACUUCGCCAAAAACCAUGAGCAGAUCAGCACUGUUUGAUCCUAUGGUUCUUGUUGGUGCUGCCCUUGGUGCUCUGGUGCUGAUUUGUACAGUCAUCUUCUUCAUACUUAUCAAACUAAAGCAGAAGAGACGCUCCUCCAGUUUGACAUCGUCUGCACAUCAACCUGAUUUUCUGAUUUAUACCACACCGAAUGUCACUGCACAAACAGACAGUCUGAACUAUUCCUCUGUGAAGUUUAUCAAAGAACCCAACUGCAGUGUGAAGACCAAUGAAAUGUUUGAAAUGAACCCGAAUGAAGGGGUAGAAACCCUUUAUUCAUCUGUUCAAACUCAACACCAUUCAGGCAUCUUUGAUCCAAACUCAAUAAUCUAUUCCAUUGUUCAUAAAGGACAGUAG